CCGAAAGGCCGCCGUUCCCGCGCCUCGCCGGGCGCCGCCAUGACGGGCCGGCCGGCGCCGGAAGCGGAAGCGGUGCCGCGCGGUCCGACCCGAAGGAGGACUGCAGGCGGCGGUCACGGGGGAGGGCGGUCAGAGCUCGAAGGGAGCAUAGAUCUCAGCAGCCUUGUGAAGAUUUGGACAAGGUUUUCUGCCCAGCAGAUGCUCCUGAUCCUGAACUAUCCCAGAGUGCUGGUGUACUCACCAUCCACAGCCAUGUCCUUCAGUACCUCCUGGAGAUUCUGUUCUGGAAAGUGGAUUUCUAUUGAGAGGGUUGGGACUUCAGCACUCCAACACUGACUGACCUGCUUCCCUGGAAUGAAUGGGGACAUGUGUUUCAUUUUUGAAAACAGAGACUCAGAAAACCUCAUUCUGGGUUGUGAAUCAGACAAAACACACCUUUUGUCAUCAUCGGGCUGCAUUAGAAGUGCUUUGCUUAUUUUUUGGAUUUAUUAACAGAAAACAAUUUACAACAGGAGUUGAUGGGGUCCAAGGAAAGACAGCACUUCAGCACUUCCAGGAAUUAAAGUGGCAGUAAAAAGAAUCCUGACCUUAAGUGUUGCACUGUAGGAGCUGUGUAAGUGGGAUGGGUUGCAGGGUGUCCCCACUCCCCGGAAACCUCCGUGAAGCAAAUGUCCCUGUCUAACGUGGGAGAUGACCGCUCAGCAGCCCAGAAGGUGGAAAGCUUGGGCUGAGCACGUCGAGACACCACCAUCUAGUGGUGCGGGACUCCAACAGCCUCCAUGCAGACCGCAACUCGCACGUUCUGCACGCUCGAAGCUACUACCACUCCCAAAUGGCUUCUUCCAGGGAGCUGAGAGCAACCACGGAGUCCACGCCCUGCCGCAGGAGGGACCUCUGGCUGCUCCCUCUCCUCUACGCCGGCUGGCACAGCAACACUGCCUUGAUUUUGGGGACAAAAAGCCACUCCAGACUCCCAACAGCUGCUCCUUGUGGUCGUGGGCUUGAUCCUGCAAAUAGCCAUGCCCCCUGGCAUCAAGGGGCAGUGAACUGGGAUAAACUAGGUCUCACCUCAUCGCAUAGCUCCAUAGGAAAUGGAAGUCUCCUGCCUGAAUGGCAUAUGUGGAAUCGUUUGGGUUUCUCCAGUGCAAGCAGCCCCAGGUAGCCGGGGGGGGUGCUCAUCCUGCUUCUUCAAGUGGCAGCCCAGCUCUGCCUUUGCCAUUACCUCAGCCCACUGGCAAAAUGCUCCUCCUGUGGCUGAACCCAGCUGGGCCCACCACAGCCCAAGCCCAGAUCCCACCCAGGUACUGGACCCACUGAGGCCCUGUCUGGCACAGCUGGGGGCAAUGAACACUGCCCAAGGUGCCUGAAUGCACCCUGUGAAGGUGCCUGAAUGCACCCUGUGUAGGUGCAUUCAGUGUGGGUUGGGAGCACCUGGUAUCCCAGAGUGUGUUAGGGGUGUCAGAGACCCAAGCAAACAGGAUGUGGCAUGCUGGGGUUCACUCCACUUGCAUGAGAGUGAGGUACUACCAGUACCACAGUCUGCAGUGGGCUUUGGCCCACCCUGUGCCCCCUGAACUUGUUAUUGAUCCUGAGGAGGGAACCAGUAACAGAGCAGAGACCCCUAUUGGGGGCCCACAGCCCUCCUUGCCCUGGUUCUGCCAUUCCUCAACCCAUCUCAUCUCAAACGACCUCCCCUAGUUGUGCUGCAGUGUCAGGGGCUGCCCCCAGGGCAGAAACCUGGGCACAGGCUGGGGACAACACUGAUAGUAGUCUGACUGUUUUUUGGUUUUGGAUUUUUUAAAAUAUUAUUAUUAUUAUUAUUAUUUAUUUUUGUGAUGUGACUCACUGACACUCUGGUGCUGCCCAUCUAUCCCCAGCCCCCCUCCAGGGCUCAGCACCAGAACCCACCCAGCACCAAUCCUUGUCCCUGCUCCCACAGUGCUGGGACAGGCCAGCCAGGGA